rnacentral:rRNA from 1 species
CCUACGGGUGGCAGCAGUGAGGAAUAUUGGUCAAUGGACGAGAGUCUGAACCAGCCAAGUAGCGUGAAGGAUGACUGCCCUAUGGGUUGUAAACUUCUUUUAUAUGGGAAUAAAAUGUUCCACGUGUGGGAUUUUGUAUGUACCAUAUGAAUAAGGAUCGGCUAACUCCGUGCCAGCAGCCGCGGUAAUACGGAGGAUCCGAGCGUUAUCGGGAUUUAUUGGGUUUAAAGGGAGCGUGGGUGGAUUGUUAAGUCAGUUGUGAAAGUUUGCGGCUCAACCGUAAAAUUGCAGUUGAAACUGGCAGUCUUGAGUACAGUAGAGGUGGGCGGAAUUCGUGGUGUAGCGGUGAAAUGCUUAGAUAUCACGAAGAACUCCGAUUGCGAAGGCAGUUCACUGGACUGCAACUGACACUGAGGCUCGAAAGUGUGGGUAUCAAACAGGAUUAGAUACCCGAGUAGUC